AGGAUCAUUAUCGUAACGAUGGGAGGUGCGAGGGCUGUCGCUGACCUUUCUGAGGUUGUGCACGCCCGAGCCCCUCUCUCACAAUCCAUCUCUCACACCCCCUGUGCAUCACCGCGUGGGUCCUCUCUCCCCUUUGCCGGGGGGAGGGCUCGCGUUUUCACACAAAACUCAAUACGGUGUAGAAUGUUUAAUUUUUUGCGGUCACACGCGAUACAAUACAACUUUCAACAACGGAUCUCUUGGCUCUCGCAUCGAUGAAGAACGCAGCGAAAUGCGAUACGUAAUGUGAAUUGCAGAAUUCAGUGAAUCAUCGAAUCUUUGAACGCACCUUGCGCCCCUUGGCAUUCCGAGGGGCACACCCGUUUGAGUGUCGUGAAACCCUCAAAAACCCUCUUCUUUGAGGAUUUUUGGACUUGGAGGUUUGAUGCUCGCUUUCAUGUUCGAAAGCGAGCUCCUCUCAAAAGAAUCAGUGGGGUUCUGCUUUGCCGGUCCUUGACGUGAUAAGAUGUUUCUACGUUUCGGAUCUGACAUCGUGCCCGCUCCUAAUCGUCUCGGUCGCCCGCGGCCAGACCCACGAUAUAGAAAAACCUUGACCUCAAAUCGGGUGAGACUACCCGCUGAACUUAA
rnacentral:rRNA from 1 species